rnacentral:tRNA from 4 species
GCGUAAUUAGUCUAGUGGUUAGGAUUGGUGCCUUCCAAGCACUAGGGCUGGGUUCGAUUCCCAGAUUACGCA